GGGAGGGUGUGACUAGUGACAGAGUGAGGGAGGGAAGUGGUGACUAGUGAGAGUGAGGGAGGUGGUGAUUAGUGACAGAGGGAGGAAUGGGGUGACUAUCACUGUGUCACCCCCUUCCUCACUCUGUCACUAGUCACCCUCUUCCUCCCUCACUCGGUCACUAUUCACCCCCUCUCUCACUCUGUCACCAGUCAUUCCCUCACUCUGUCACCAGUCAUCCCUUCCUUCCC
rnacentral:sRNA from 1 species